CACAGCCUGGCUCGCCGCUCGAGGCGUGCAGCGAGCCGCGAGUGCAGGCAGCCAGACAGCGAGAGAAGUCACCGCGCGGCCUCGACUACUUCUCCGCCUCCUCAUUUCCUCCCACCGAAAGAAAAGCUUAGGGUUCGGCCGCUGCUGCUCAUCGCCGCCUCAUCCUCCGCCGCCGGGCGUCGGCGCCGGCUCCCCUCCAUCGCCGGCUCCCUCCGUCGCCCCCCCUCAGAUCCGUCGGCUGCCCGCCUUCUCUUCCACUGUGAAGUCCUCGUUCUCUCCGUUGAGCCCAUCUUCUUCGUCGGUUUUCUUCCUCACGCCCUCUCCUCUUCGGUUCUCUCCGUCGAGCUCUCCGAUAACUCUACCCAGGCUGAGUUGUGGCUGGUAUUGGCGAUAUAA
rnacentral:lncRNA from 1 species